CCUCUGAUGCCCUCCCUGGCCUAUAGGAGCUCCCAGGCAGCUUCAAUGGCAGGAGGGAGUGAAGAAGGCGGCUGGCACGAGUCCCGAGAUGAUCAUUACGACGUGGAUUGUAUACAUUCUUGCCCGGAAAGGUGCAGGGCUCCCCUUCCCACCGAGAAUCAGUUCGGACAUUGAAGUUGUGGAAAGUGAAGCCGUGUCCGUGGUCCAACACUGGCUGAAAAAAACAGAAGAAGAGGCUGCCCAGGGCAUCAAGGAGAAGAUGUCUGCCUACUGCUCUCCCACUCACGGCCAGGACGUACACGUGACCAGAGACGUGGUGAAGCACCAUCUCUCAAAGUCUGACCUGUCAGCCAACCAGAGCCAAGAGGUCCUGGAGGAGCGAACGAGGAUUCAGUUCAUCAGAUGGAGCCACACCCGCAUCUUCCAAGUGCCGAGCGAGGUGACAGACGAGGUCAUGCGAGACCGGAUAGAGCAGGUGAGACGCAGCAUCUGCCACCUUACAGACGACUCUGCUCAGGACUGCUGCCUCAGACCUUCCUUCUCGGAUUGCUAAGAGCGACAGAGCCCCACUGCAUGCCAGCUUCUGCACAAGGCACUUUGUUGAGGAUUCUCACCUGAUCCCAAACCAACCUUUAAAGGAGGGCACCGCGCCACACGAAGGGGGAAGGUCGAAGCCCUUCAGGGCCAAGGGGCAGGCCUGUGUCAGAAGAGUGUCCAUCUCCUGCUUGACCUGAAGAGUAACCAGACCUGGGCCCAGAGAUGCCAGCCAGUGAGUCCUGCAUUGCCACGGUGGUGGCACGGAAUCUUCUCCUUAAACUGCUAAUAAAGAGACGUGCUAUUUAACAAC